rfam:TPA: Bos taurus chromosome 23, whole genome shotgun sequence.
UAAACGGCUCUUUUCAGAGCCACUUCCAUGAUCAGGGAAAAGAGU